rnacentral:rRNA from 1 species
GUGCCAGCAGCCGCGGUAACACGUAGGGGCCAAGCGUUGUCCGGAUUUAUUGGGCGUAAAGAGCUCGUAGGCGGUUCGACAAGUCGGGUGUGAAAACUCCGGGCUCAACCCGGAGACGCCACCCGAUACUGUCGUGACUGGAGUCCGGUAGGGGAGUGGGGAAUUCCUGGUGUAGCGGUGAAAUGCGCAGAUAUCAGGAGGAACACCGGUGGCGAAGGCGCCACUCUGGGCCGGUACUGACGCUGAGGAGCGAAAGCGUGGGUAGCAAACAGGAUUAGAUACCCUGGUAGUCC